rnacentral:rRNA from 1 species
AGUGAACGCUGGCGGUAGGCCUAACACAUGCAAGUCGAACGGCAGCACAGGAGAGCUUGCUCUCUGGGUGGCGAGUGGCGGACGGGCGAGGAAUACAUCGGAAUCUACUCUGUCGUGGGGGAUAACGUAGGGAAACUUACGCUAAUACCGCAUACGACCUACGGGUGAAAGCAGGGGACCUUCGGGCCUUGCGCGAUUGAAUGAGCCGAUGUCGGAUUAGCUAGUUGGCGGGGUAAAGGCCCACCAAGGCGACGAUCCGUAGCUGGUCUGAGAGGAUGCUCAGCAACACUGGAACUGAGACACGGUCCAGACUCCUACGGGAGGCAGCAGUGGGGAAUAUUGGACAAUGGGCGCAAGCCUGAUCCAGCCAUACCGCGUGGGUGAAGAAGGCCUUCGGGUUGUAAAGCCCUUUUGUUGGGAAAGAAAUCCAGCUGGCUAAUACCCGGUUGGGAUGACGGUACCCAAAGAAUAAGCACCGGCUAACUUCGUGCCAGCAGCCGCCGUAA